UGAACAGAUUCCAAAAAGACGCUCGAACCAAGAAUUCAUACAAUAUUGCCAUAGCAAAUUGAUAUUUUCUUAUAUACAGGUGUUUAAAAUGAUUAAAGAAGACAAUUUACAAACUUUAAUACUUCAUGAAGCAGGCAGUCUCCAUUUCCACAUGUUCAGAGAACUUCAAAAUGGGGCAGAAGGCAGGAAGAUUUUAUAGCAUAAAGAAUAAGUAAUAAGAAAGAGAAAAACCAAAAAUGACUAAAGCACAAGGGAAUAAAUAUAGUGCCCAGAGUUGGCUUGGUGUUUGGAGAUUGGCUGACUGGAUAUUUUAGGUUUCUGGUUAAGUAGAGCAUUUACAGGGACACAAAACUGUCAACUGAAAGAAAAUGCACGACCUAAAAGUGGAGAAUUACGUUCUAUUCAGCGGACUUGUUGAGAACUUAAGCCCAGGAGGCAGCCUUUCAGGGAGCUCGGAGGAACUAUUCUGAGGAAAUAAG